UACGGGGGGGGCAAGCGUUGUUCGGAAUUACUGGGCGUAAAGGGCGCGUAGGCGGCCAGAUUAGUCAGGCGUGAAAGCCCUGGGCUCAACCCGGGGACUGCGCUUGAUACGGUUUGGCUUGAGGACGGAAGAGGCUCGCGGAAUUCCCAGUGUAGAGGUGAAAUUCGUAGAUAUUGGGAAGAACACCGGUGGCGAAGGCGGCGAGCUGGUCCGUACCUGACGCUGAGGCGCGACAGCGUGGGGAGCAAACAGG
rnacentral:rRNA from 1 species